UAUGGACUUAUCUGUACUCAGCCAACUGUAGAAGAACAACCCUUCAGAGCUCCUGAGAGUUGGUCGUCUUCAUACAGCUACUCUGGAUUUAGCUAAUAACUUGGCCUGCCACAGUCUCAUGGAUCUGGCAGAAGACAUGAAACUCCUGGGUCAGAAGAAAAG